GGUUAAGCGACUAAGCGUACACGGUGGAUGCCCUGGCAGUCAGAGGCGAUGAAGGACGUGCUAAUCUGCGAUAAGCGUCGGUGAGGUGAUAUGAACCGUUAUAACCGGCGAUUUCCGAAUGGGGAAACCCAGUGUGUUUCGACACACUAUCAUUAACUGAAUCCAUAGGUUAAUGAGGCGAACCGGGGGAACUGAAACAUCUAAGUACCCCGAGGAAAAGAAAUCAACCGAGAUUCCCCCAGUAGCGGCGAGCGAACGGGGAGGAGCCCAGAGCCUGAAUCAGUGUGUGUGUUAGUGGAAGCGUCUGGAAAGGCGCGCGAUACAGGGUGACAGCCCCGUACACAAAAAUGCACAUAUUGUGAGCUCGAUGAGUAGGGCGGGACACGUGGUAUCCUGUCUGAAUAUGGGGGGACCAUCCUCCAAGGCUAAAUACUCCUGACUGACCGAUAGUGAACCAGUACCGUGAGGGAAAGGCGAAAAGAACCCCGGCGAGGGGAGUGAAAAAGAACCUGAAACCGUGUACGUACAAGCAGUGGGAGCCUCUUAAUGGGGUGACUGCGUACCUUUUGUAUAAUGGGUCAGCGACUUAUAUUCUGUAGCAAG
rnacentral:rRNA from 1 species